AUUGUCGAAACCUGCCCAGCAGAACGACCCGCGAAUACGUAACACAACGUUUGGGGGGCGAGGGGGGCGCACGCCCUCUCCUUCCCAUCGUCGGGAUGCGCUCGGUGCUGCUCCGCACCUCCCAUGCCCUGUGCACGGGAAGCGUCUGUGCCGGUGCGCUCCCGACCUCACAACGAACCCCGGCGCAAAACGCGCCAAGGAACUUGAACGCAAGAGAGCAUGCACCCGCUGCCUCGGUCUCGGGGCCCGCGGGAGGCAGUGCCAUCUUCGAUACUCUAACGACUCUCGGCAACGGAUAUCUCGGCUCUCGCAUCGAUGAAGAACGUAGCGAAAUGCGAUACUUGGUGUGAAUUGCAGAAUCCCGUGAACCAUCGAGUCUUUGAAGCCAAGUUGCGCCCAAAGCCAUUAGGCCGAGGGCACGUCUGCCUGGGCGUCACGUAUUGCGUCGCACCCCGACCCCCGCCCAAUGUCAUCUUGGCGCGGGGCCUCGCGUGGAGCGGAUACUGGCCUCCCGUGGGAUUUCCCGCGGCUGGCCUAAAUGCGAGCCCCGAGCGACGGACGUCACGAUAAGUGGUGGUUUUUAAGCCGCAGUGUCGUAUCGUGCGUUGCCCCGUCGCCAACGGGAGCCACACAAUACCCCCGUGCGUCGUGAUCGCGACGCUUCCAUCGCGACCCCAGGUCAGGCGGGACUACCCGC
rnacentral:rRNA from 1 species